AUUCCUGUGGGCACUGGGGUAUUUAGGGACUGGUGAUAGUUCUUUGUGGACCUGUGCCAGUCCUCUGCAAAGAUAACACAUGGUAGCGCCAGCAACGUGGAUUCUUCAGGAAGCUGCGGAGAGCAGUGAGGUUGCCCUUCAAUCUUCUUUUCUCCAAACCAGAUGAGCCCACAGUCCUCAGCUGCUUCUCACAGGACAUGCCUUCCAGCCCUUUCACCAGCUUUGUGGCCCUCCUCUGGACACAUUCAAGGACCUUCACACCCUGUGGUACCCAGGUGAGGUACUCAGGUUGGAUCAGGAGACGCUGCAUUUGGCUUACAAGCAAGAUUGAGGUCAAGGCAUGGGCGUUCUCAUCCCUGCCACAGAUCUGCCGGAUGAGGAGGUUUAUCAGCUUCCCUCUAGGACCAAGAGCUCUAAUGUGCUGCCUUCCCCUCAUUGUUCACUGCCAGGAGGGUAACGAGGCCUGACUUGGAAGUGCUGUGUGAGUGGCAAGCAGCUGAGUAGUCUGAUUCAGUAUAUUGUUGCAUACAGCACUGUAAAUCUGGCAAACUUAAUUAUACUCAGAGGGAUAAUGACAACUCCAUAUGGAAUGGAAAAUUGCUUGCAUGUAGAUUCUUAACUCUUCUGGUCUUCCUUAGUUAGUAGGCAGGCAGGAGCCUCCAAAGGUAACAGUGAUACUAUUUCUUGUCCAGCUGGCAUGGAAGAUUUAACUUCACCUGAGCCAGCUGGCUAUCUCCUUGCCUCCUUUCACCUAAGAGACCAAAAUAUGUCAUCCUUGAGAUAUGACCAGACUCUUGGAACUCACACCUAUUUCUGGGGGGAAAAAAAGCAGCAUUAUUAUUAGUACUCUGUAUAUGCUUUGCUUCAGAGAUAUAUAAAUGUUCAUGCAUAUGUAUGUAUAUGCUUUAUACGUCUUCCUGCACAGAUGUUAAAGCUAAAAUGUAUACCAAAGAAUCUUCACGCUUACAAAUAGAAAUCCAGAAAAAGAACCAGGAAAUGAAAACCCAAGGUCUAUGACUGUCAUACUUUCCCUACCCUGCAUACGUGGUAACUUUAAUUAUCAGUUGGGUUGUUUAAAUAUGCAGCUGAAUUUAUUCCAUAUAUAUAUUCAGAGGCACUGAUAUUAAGAGCAUCAGAGUAUUUUCAUUUCCUGUAUUUGGGAUUUAAUUUGUUACUCUUCACUAUGGCUCUAGUGCUUUUUGCACUUAUUUUCCUUUCUCUAAUACAUAGAAAUAAUAUGGAGAAAGAUAAAAAUUGUGUUUUUAAUAACACUGUUUUUUAAGUAGUCCUGCUAGGCUCUGAAAGUCACAUCUGGAACAAUGAAUUGGAUGAGAUAUUAUAACAUUUACUGAUGCUGCU